AGUCUUAUAGUCAAAUAAAUGAUUUCAAAUUGCAAAUUUGGAGUUGGCUUAAGCCCUAAGGCUU
rnacentral:tRNA from 1 species